GGUUAAUUUCACUUCACAGGAUAUAUUACUCACAGCACUGGGGACCUUCGUUCACACAGAGCCUUCGUUAGAACACAGGUAAGCAUCUGCUAUAAGCACAGGUUAAUUUCACUUCACAGGAUAUAUUACUCACAGCACUGGGGAUCUUCGUUCACACAGAGCCUUCGUUAGAACACAGGUAAGCGUUUGCUAUAAGCACAGGUUAGUUUCACUUCACAGGAUAUAUUACUCACAGCACGGGGGACCUUCGUUCACACAGAGCCUUCGUUAGAACACAGGUAAGUAUUUGCUAUAAGCACAGAUUAACUUCACUUCACAGAGUAUGUUACUCACAAUACUGAGGGUCUUUGUCCGCUCGCAGACAGUGGACUUUCGCUACAGCGUCAGUGCACCGUGAUCCUUCGCCCAUCCACUCAAGCUGUCCGGGCGUUGUAGGGACUAGUGGGCUCAGUGGCACGGAGCCAAACGCUUCCCGAACUCCCCCUCCUACUUCCACGGCCGGGGUCACGAGUUGGGGCGAACUUUCGUCGGGGCCCCGCACACCACGAGCUCUGUUGGAAAGGUCAGUACACACACAGCUAUGACCCUCAAUCCGCACGGUACACUUCCCACGUUACUCACUGGGUUUCACCACUGUCUGCUCUUUGGAGGAACGAUGCUCUCGUUGACACACCCGGGGCACAGGGCUUAAUUUUCUCACUCUCCGUAGGACCCAGGCCACAACAGAUGUCGUCGUCUCGCGACUCGUCCGAGGCUAGGCAGUUUGGGCGCUACAAGCACAGCAUACACACAGCAAGUAAAGCGUAAACACCAUCAAUCAGUGAAACUCACCCACAGCACUCUUAUACAACUUCACGUGGUUUUUAAAUCGCCCUCGCCACCUGGCUACGACUCCCUCGAGAGGAUAGUUGGGCGAUAGCUGGACCACCGAUGAGAGGCCACUGCUCGAUUGGAGAACGGUGCUUCCUACCAAUUGCUUCGUCCGUGCUUCCGGUCACCCCGCGGCUCGCCCACGCUCCCCUCUCCAGUGGGGCCAGGGACCUCAAACACAAGGAAAACACACACCCGCAACUCCUCUUCAAAGGAAACGAUCAAGCCAGCAUAGUCCGUCUGCAAAGCAGCAACACAGGGUAUACAAAGUACACCACAAGCACCCCGUUUUAUGUCUUCAAAGGUCUUUAUAUUCUAUACCUCUUCUCCUCAUCAGCCUAUCAGCAACCGCUGUGCAAAUUAUCCCCACCUGGGCGAAAUCAGGCUUGAUUUCGUCUUCGGGGAAACCCCGGAAUUCCGGUGUUCAGAGUAAAGCGUCCGGGCGGAACCAUCGUCUUCCACGCUUUUGGUUCCGCCCUUACAA